rnacentral:rRNA from 1 species
UACCCGCUGAACUUAAGCAUAUCAAUAAGCGGAGGAAAAGAAACUAACAAGGAUUCCCCUAGUAACUGCGAGUGAAGCGGGAAAAGCUCAAAUUUCGAAUCUGGCGGUCGUAGAGGCUGUCCGAGUUGUAAUCUAGAGAAGCGUCUUCCGCGCUGGCCCGUGUACAAGUCUCCUGGAAGGGAGCGUCAUAGAGGGUGAGAAUCCCGUCUUUGACACGGACCACCAGCGCCAUGUGAUGCGCUCUCGACGAGUCGAGUUGUUUGGGAAUGCAGCUCAAAACGGGUGGUAAAUUCCAUCUAAAGCUAAAUAUGGGCGAGAGACCGAUAGCGAACAAGUACCGUGAGGGAAAGAUGAAAAGAACUUUGGAAAGAGAGUUAAACAGUACGUGAAAUUGCUGAAAGGGAAACGCUUCGCGUCAGUCGCGUCGGCCGGGGAUCAACCUUGCGAGCGAUCGCUGGGCGCACUUCCCGUCCGACGGGUCAGCAUCAGUUUCCGUCCUCGUACAAGGGCGAGAGGAACGUGGCACUCUCCGGAGUGUGUUAUAGCCUUUCGUCACAUGCGUCGACAGGGACUGAGGAACUCGGCACGACCCCUUUUGCGGGUCCGUGUCUAGGAUGCUGGCAUAAUGGCGUCAAGCGACCCGUCUUGAAACUCGGACCAAGGAGUCCAACAUGCCNGCGAGUGUUCGGGCGCAAAACCCGUCCGCGAAACGAAAGUGAAAGUCGAGACCUCCGUCAUGGAG